rnacentral:lncRNA from 1 species
AUAUAAUGUUUACUGUAGGUUUUGGUGUUUGUUUUGAGACACAGUCUCACUCUGUCACCCAGGCUGGAGUGCAGUGGUGAGAUCAUGGCUCACUGUAGCCUCCCACCUGAGCCUCCCAAGUAACUGGGACUACAGGAACAUGCCACCACACCUGGCUAACUUUUUGUAUAUCUAUUUUUAAUUUUUGUAGUGAUGGGAUUUUGCCACGUUGCCUAGGCUGGUCUCAAAUUCCUGGGCUGAAGCACUCUGCCUGCCUCGGCCUUCUAAAGGGCUGGGAUUACAGGUGUGAGCCAGCACACCCGGUCCCUACUGUAGGUUUUUAUUAUAUAAACUUUCACCAAG